rnacentral:sRNA from 1 species
AAGUUGAUUGGGAAACUCAUCAAUUAUAAGUGAAAUACCGAGACAAACUCGACGCGCAAUGGCGGGCCCCGACGUCCAUUUCAUAUGGCGUAUGCCGGUUAAGUGUUUACACACCGGCCAGGCGGAUUACAAAGUGCGGAGAGAGCUCAAAACCUGUCUUUCGGAGUUUCAUCGCAUCCUUUGGUGUGGCUUUUA